AUAUUCUCCAUUCGGGGAAGGAUGAAAAGCUUCGACUAAGGUUCGACUCGAGCGUAGCGAGAGAGCGUAGCGAGAGAGCGUUGCGAGAGAGCGUUGCCGCAGGCAACGACCCGAAGGGCGAGGAGCAUAGCGACGAGUAAUCCUUUCCCCUGCUUAU
rnacentral:sRNA from 1 species